rnacentral:rRNA from 1 species
UACACGAGCGGCGAACGGGUGAGUAACACGUGGGUGAUCUGCCCUGCACUCUGGGAUAAGCCUGGGAAACUGGGUCUAAUACUGGAUAUGACCUGCUCUCGCAUGGGGGUGGGUGGAAAGAUUUAUCGGUGCAGGAUGGGCCCGCGGCCUAUCAGCUUGUUGGUGGGGUAAUGGCCUACCAAGGCGACGACGGGUAGCCGACCUGAGAGGGUGACCGGCCACACUGGGACUGAGACACGGCCCAGACUCCUACGGGAGGCAGCAGUGGGGAAUAUUGCACAAUGGGCGGAAGCCUGAUGCAGCGACGCCGCGUGAGGGAUGAAGGCCUUCGGGUUGUAAACCUCUUUCAGCAGGGACGAAGCGUGAGUGACGGUACCUGCAGAAGAAGCACCGGCUAACUACGUGCCAGCAGCCGCGGUAAUACGUAGGGUGCGAGCGUUGUCCGGAAUUACUGGGCGUAAAGAGUUCGUAGGCGGUUUGUCGCGUCGUUUGUGAAAACCCGGGGCUCAACUUCGGGCUUGCAGGCGAUACGGGCAGACUUGAGUGUUUCAGGGGAGACUGGAAUUCCUGGUGUAGCGGUGAAAUGCGCAGAUAUCAGGAGGAACACCGGUGGCGAAGGCGGGUCUCUGGGAAACAACUGACGCUGAGGAACGAAAGCGUGGGUAGCAAACAGGAUUAGAUACCCUGGUAGUCCACGCCGUAAACGGUGGGCGCUAGGUGUGGGUUCCUUCCACGGAAUCUGUGCCGUAGC